CUUUACUUAGAGAUUUUUAUAAAUGGAUGAAUCAAACAUGCAGUUGAAUGAUUUGUGAUUUGGCACAGAGAGGAGGGCCCUAUUGCAGAUCUCCCCUUCUCUUGCUGCGUGUUCAUGUAGGUAAUGUCACAUUCCCUGUGGACUAACAAGUCAGCCCUUUCCCUGCUCCUGACAGUGGCUAGGUCACCAGGAGUAUUUGUAGAUUUUUAAAAACUAGGCCAGUGGUCUCUGGAGGAUGCUGGUGAGUCUUUUAAAGGUUCUGCUACCUCGUCACCUCCUAUUAAGCGUGAGUUUCUGAGAUCUGUCCCUUUCUUUUGCCUUGGCUUCCUGCAGCUGGACUAAAUGGCUUAAAUCUGAUUAAUAAUUUUUACCAGUAACUUCUAGAGUCAGUUGGAUCUGUCUUGUUCCUGAUCUCAAAGGGAAGAAGAUCUAGUGGGCACUUUUCAUCACCACAGGUUUUCUUUGGGAGACAACUCUCAUAGCCUGGGCCUAGAUUGUGUCCUUCAGCCUCAAGUAUGGUCAGAAAAAGAGCAAUAGCAGCUGCUAACUGUGUGUUCAUUGUCAUUCUUGAGACCUCCCUCGCACAUCCUCAGCCUGUAUGAGGUUUACAUGUAUAUUUUCCAAAACUCAUUCAUGUAGCAUUUGCCACAAGGAGUCUGGGCUUUGGUGAGUAGAAACCCAGCUCUACCCAAUUUCUUACAACUUACCCCGUGUCUGGAAGGACGCCACUAAAACACAGAUGUCUCUCUGCAAGAUUUCUUACUGUGGAAGAUUCCCUCUUCCUUUCUGGUAACUGUGCAUCUCAUCUGUGCAUGAUCUCUUUUAAAUAAAGACAUUGAUACUGUUUGAA